rnacentral:rRNA from 1 species
UACGUAGGGUGCAGGCGUUAAUCGGAAUUACUGGGCGUAAAGCGUGCGCAGGCGGUUUGCUAAGACAGGUGUGAAAUCCCCGGGCUUAACCUGGGAAUGGCAUUGGUGACUGCACGGCCAGAGUGUGUCAGAGGGGGGUAGAAUUCCACGUGUAGCAGUGAAAUGCGUAGAGAUGUGGAGGAAUACCGAUGGCGAAGGCAGCCCCCUGGGAUAACACUGACGCUCAUGCACGAAAGCGUGGGGAGCAAACAGG